rnacentral:rRNA from 1 species
AGUGAACGCAGGCGGUAGGCCUAACACAUGCAAGUCGAACGGCAGCACAGUAAGAGCUUGCUCUUACGGGUGGCGAGUGGCGGACGGGUGAGGAAUACAUCGGAAUCUACUUUUUCGUGGGGGAUAACGUAGGGAAACUUACGCUAAUACCGCAUACGACCUACGGGUGAAAGCAGGGGAUCUUCGGACCUUGCGCGAUUGAAUGAGCCGAUGUCGGAUUAGCUAGUUGGCGGGGUAAAGGCCCACCAAGGCGACGAUCCGUAGCUGGUCUGAGAGGAUGAUCAGCCACACUGGAACUGAGACACGGUCCAGACUCCUACGGGAGGCAGCAGUGGGGAAUAUUGGACAAUGGGCGCAAGCCUGAUCCAGCCAUGCCGCGUGGGUGAAGAAGGCCUUCGGGUUGUAAAGCCCUUUUGUUGGGAAAGAAAAGCAGCAGGUUAAUACCCCGCUGUUCUGACGGUACCCAAAGAAUAAGCACCGGCUAACUUCGUG